CCGCGGGAUUAGAGUUUGAUCCUGGCUCAGAGCGAACGCUGGCGGCAGGCUUAACACAUGCAAGUCGAGCGCCCCGCAAGGGGAGCGGCAGACGGGAGAGUAACACGUGGGAACGUACCUUUCGGUUCGGAACAACCCAGGGAAACUUGGGCUAAUACCGGAUACGUCCGUAAGGAGAAAGAUUUAUCGCCGAAAGAUCGGCCCGCGUCUGAUUAGCUAGUUGGUGAGGUAACGGCUCACCAAGGCGACGAUCAGUAGCUGGUCUGAGAGGAUGAUCAGCCUCACUGGGACUGAGACACGGCCCAGACUCCUACGGGAGGCUGCAGUCGAGGAUCUUCGGCAAUGGGCGCAAGCCUGACCGAGCGACGCCGCGUGUGCGAUGAAGGCCUUCGGGUUGUAAAGCACUGUCUAGGGGGAGGAAAACCCGCAAGGGUCUGACCUAUCCCUGGAGGAAGCACGGGCUAAGUUCGUGCCAGCAGCCGCGGUAAGACGAACCGUGCGAACGUUGUUCGGAUUCACUGGGCUUAAAGGGCGCGUAGGCGGGCGGCACAGUCAGAGGUGAAAUCUCACGGCCCAACCGUGAAACGGCCUUUGAUACUGGCGGUCUCGAGGGAGGUAGGGGCAUGCGGAACUUCCGGUGGAGCGGUGAAAUGCGUAGAUAUCGGAAGGAACGCCGGUGGCGAAAGCGGCAUGCUGGGCCUUCUCUGACGCUGAGGCGCGAAAGCCAGGGGAGCGAACGGGAUUAGAUACCCCGGUAGUCCUGGCCCUAAACGAUGGGUACCAGGCUGUGGGCCGGCAUGGGCUCCCAGCCGAGGCGAAAGUGUUAAGUACCCCGCCUGGGGAGUAUGGUCGCAAGGCU
rnacentral:rRNA from 1 species